CUAUAUAUAAAAUCAUUCCUUAUUAAAAACACUAUAAAAGAAUGUUGUGACAAAAACCAAGGUCAUGGCCUAAUUAGGCACAUGCAAUCCGCCACUAUCUGUGUCAUUUUCAAGAAAUGUCUCAAAAGGAAACAUUUAUAGGUAUCGUUAGAUGUAUACAACAUACAUGAAAUAAAAAUUUUACAACAUAAUAAGAAAAAAGUAGUCAAUAUAGCAAUGGUAACAGUGUAUCUGAGGUAAAUUAUUAUCAACUAAUGUCCUCUAUCUUUUAGUUUACUCCACAAGUGCUUCAUUUAAAUCAUUAUAUCAUACUGAUUUAUUUAGUAAGCAUAAAAUAAUGACACAGGAAGAACCGUAAGUAUAGUUAAAUAAUAGUUAAAUAUAUAUGAGCAAUGAAAAAAUAUCGAAACAUUACUUUCAACAUGAAUGCAAAAUAAUUGCAGUCAUAAUACCAUGUCCAUGAUGUAAACACACAGGGUACAUUUUUCUGCUACACAGUUAGCGCCGGCGCGCCGCAGUUCAUUCAGUGUGUUUUGGCACACGCAUCGUAUGUAGAAGCAUGGAGGUAUAAAAAUAUUUUAUACCUCCAUGGUAGAAGUGUAUGUAGGCCAGCCUGCUCCCGGUUUAUCUAUAUAUACAUUUUUUAACACAAUUAUAUUUUUUAUUUUUCAUAUUAUAUUUUUAAAAAUUUUUCUUUUUAAACUUUUAUCAAAACACAAACAAAAGUUGGCCCCUACAUGGUUGAAAUGUAACAUGGUUCUGAAUUCACUUGACUUAUGUACCUCUCUUAAUGUAAAAGAGUGAAAGUUACACUCCACACUCAGAGUGAACUAAUUUUCGCUCUAGGAAGAGUGACAAUCCACUCCCAUUUGAGCGAAUGUCACAAUCAUUCAGGAUCAAACGGUUCACUACUUCAUAGAGUGGUCCUAUAUUAUUUCCGCUCUUGACAAUCGGGGGAUAUGAGUUUGAAACAAGGCAGCCAAUCAAAUACAAGCAUUUUCCAGAUUUUUCCGGUUCCAAAGAACAACUUUCCACCAGUCGCGACGACAACACUGCUGCAAGUGCGACGUGUACAUGAGGCAGUGAAGCAGUUUUUGCGUCAAAUCUUCGGUGAUGAAAAUCAAGUUUUCAGUAUUUUUGAAGAUGGAGUGGCUCAAGUACUUGCCACCUACCAGUGAAAACAGUACCCAACUAAAGAAUUGUCUGAGGAAAUCUUUCCAGUGUAGGAGAAAACAAAUGCAGGAAAACUGCAUCACUGGCAUUCUUGAAGAAGUGCCCAGGUUCCGGGACAUGCAAGAGCUGAUUAACUUGGAAUUUGACAUGAUGCAUCCAGGAUUUGGAUCAAACAUGCUAACAAAAUGGAAGCCCUACUAUUACCCAAAGUUUGUGCAACUACAGUAGAAGAAACACAAUGAGCUGGAUGAAUUAAAACUUCUUCUACAGAAAUUGCCAACAGCCUCAUCAAGAGUUAGGAAGACCAAAGGCUAUGAAGCUUUUACUUUCAUUGUGCAACACAAGCCAGCUGGGACAGAUGUUGAUGUAUUUGCAUCAAAGAAAGACGAAGUGUACGCUCAGCCUUUCCUUCUUGCCAUAGGUGAUUAUGACGAUCCCACAGAGUUCUUCUUAAUCGUGGACGCGACAUCAAUACCUGGUGGAAAGACAUUGGUUGAGGCUUUUGGUCGUCUAUUCAAGGUUCACUACAUAUUCAAUGUGCAGUUUGCCAAGUCACUCAUCACAUUUUACAAUUACUUUGAGGGUUUUGUGUAUGAAAUGAUGACAAAUAUUAAACCGACAGUCAGAGAGCUGUAUUCAAAGCUCAGGCGUGAAACUGAUGAUGAAUAGGGUUAUGUCAUAUGACAUCCAUUUUUAAGCAUAUACCCAUAUUUGGGCAAUUCACACAAAUUUGUCACAUCAAAUUUAAUGGUGUGGAUUGCGCUUUAACUGUUACCGAAAGAAGUUCAUAAUGUUCAAUGUUCUUUGAAGUAAGACAGUAUGAAAAACUCCAAAAAGAAAAAUUUGAAUCUAUUUCAAACUUUAUUCGUUCAUGUUCAGGAUUCCUGAAUAUGAAUGACUGAAGUUUGAAAUAUAAAACCAAUGAAGGCUUGUAUCACUUUUUUCGAAGGACGUUCUGUUUAUUCCAUUUUUGAAAUAAAACAAAGUUAAUGAUUAUACUCUGUGUCAGUUUCAUUUGUUUGGUUGUACACAAUAUUAAAAACACCACUCUUGAAAAAAGAGUAGUUGGUUUCACUCUAAAGUGAGUGAAUUAUUUUCACUCCUUUUAAACGAGUGGUACAAUUUUUACUCUUUUGAAAGAGUGUGUUUCACUCUUUGCAGAGUGAUGUGAUGACCAUUCUUUUUUCACUUCAAAAGGAGUUGUCCCUCAGUUAACUCUUUGAAAGAGUGGCAUUUUACUCUGGUUUGAGUGGUUUUUCACUCUUUUACAUUAAGAGAUAUGUGAUAAAAGAAAAGGAAACAUGCCAACCAACACACUACGGGAAGAAAAUACAUACAAUUAAAACAAGACAUGGUGAAUUUAUUUUUUCUAAUUAAGAGUUACAGUCGAUAAUAAUAGAAAGACACUAAGAUAACAACUAAAUUUAAUUUGUGUGCUAAUAAAUCGGACCAUAUUCUAAAUAAUGAUUUUGCCUACUCUGCCAAGUGAAGAUCGAAAAAUAAAAUCACCAUGAAUGAAAUAUUUUUUGUAAUAACAAAUAGAACAUUAUGGUUAAUAUAAGCUGUAUAUAAACUGUUGAUCAAAAAUAAUGAUUUCAUCCAACAAUGAUAAUUGAUAAACAACCUAGGCUCAUAGGCACAUGUAUUCAAGAAUGUAAAUUACCGUUAAUUAACAGGUAGCCAUUCCUGAAUACAACGUUUUCCCCUUAGUUGUAGGCCUUUGUCAUUUCACAUUUAACUUCACAUUUCGUUCUGCAGCAGGAAAGUCCUCAAUAAUGAAUAUUUUUGUUUUUUUUUGGGCCUACUUUAAUUGCUUUCUUGAGAACAUGAAGUCCCAGUGAACUCGAAAAAAAAUUAGAAAGUACCUGCCUGUAUAUGCCUGGGCUGACCGGUUAAUUCCUUUCUGCCAGACGAAUGCACUGUUUCGAUCUGAAUGCUUAGUAUGUUUACAGUAUUUGAUUAUCGAGUAUGUCCACUAUAAAAUAAGAGGUUAUGCCUUUGCCUGGUCCUUCAGUUAGUUAUUUAUUUGUCUGUCGGUAUAUUUGUUAUGAACAGCGUACAGCCCAUAGUUUUUAUCAGAAAUUCAUCAAACUUGGCCACAAUGCUCCUUUUAGUCUGUUGUCUUAGGCAGUGACGUAGCCAGGAUUUUGAAAGGGUGGGAGCCAUUAUGCGAGGUACCUAGAUCCGAGUAGGGGUGGGGUAUCCCCUCCCUA
rnacentral:lncRNA from 1 species